ensembl:lncRNA
ACUUUCUGGAGAAUGCCUACCUUGGGGGUUUUUUUGUGAGCCUACAACACAGGAUGCUGGAUGUUGCUAUAUUUAUUCUUGUGUGGAAUCUUCUACUCAUAGAACCAGAAGGAAAAUCUGACUGGAAUUAGAUGGAGGUGUGAAUAUGGACAAGAUGACCUGGUCCUAAAAUUGUCCUAAAUGUCCUAAAAUGAAAAAGACAUUAAUUUGAACAUACUAUAGGACAGACGUGUUGUUGUAAAUCCAAUCUGCCUUAAAAGAAACACAUGAAGAGCAUGAUCGUUACAGAAAUGCAAUGAAACCACAGAACUGAGAAAAACAAGAUGCAUCAUUGCAGAGGAAACGGUGAACUUCUUCAUGAAGGAAGUGGAGUGGAGGAAUAAGAAAGAUGUUCCCAGCUAUCAGUCUCAUUGGUAAUAAUCUACUAUUCAUGAAGCUGGUAUGCAGAUAUUAUGAUAAGAUGCUUCAUAACAUUUGUAAAAAUGUCCUUCCAAUGAGUAAUAUUGCUUGGCACAUGCCAUUAGUUUACUUGGAGGAAAUUGUGGAGCAUUUGGUUACCCAAUGUAAGAGAAAGAGAAACAGUCUGGUCCAGACUGUUACCAAAAGAUGGAAUAGUUAUCAUUUAAAUAACAGAAGUUACAUUAACAACAGUUUGAAGAUUCAACUGAAUUUUCUUUUAAGCAAAUUUCCAAAACACACAGUGAACUUUAUUCUGCUACCUAUUAUGUACAUUAGAUAAUACCAUAGAUACCCUGUUGGUUUCAGCAAACUUGUUUGGAACUGGAUGAUGGUAGACUAAAAACUACAUGAAGGACUAAAUUCUAACUAUUAAGUGAUCUAGAAAGGUUUGUUGGGAUGUGUCAUUUAGUGGAAUACAGGCAGAUGAAAAGGCGAGGUCCAGUCGUAUGUUACCUACAAAACUCUUACCUGAAAAGGUGUGUGUUCACCACCGUUUGAGAUGACUGUUUCCAACUGUUCUUAAUGAGAAUGUUUAAAAAAAAAAUCCAACUCAAACCUCCUAGAUCAGACACAUUCUUCGCUAUAAAGUGAUAGAAAACAAAUGGACACAUGCCUAUCUCUCCUGAUGAUCACAUUCUUUUAUGUGCACAUUUUAUUUGCUGCAAGCAACAGGUAAUGGUAUAAGAAUACCAGUAAAAACAUUAUCUUACUCUCUAUCAUCAGGCUGUCUUUAAUACAUUACUUAUUUUAGUAUACCUGUAGGUCCUAUAGGAAGUGCACACUGUAGCAGAACAAGUAUCAACAGAUUGAAGAAACUGGCAGAGAUGCAUAUAUAGUCAUUUUGAACUAGUAACCAGAAUGGCAUGAUGGAGAGAUGUCAGUUAUCAGUAGAAGUAAAAGAACGAGAGCUUUGCCCAUCACUACUUCUACAUUUUCUCCGUAAGAUGCCUAAGUGAAAUCAGUAGCUAACAUCAUUAAGGAUGCCUUAAAUAAAUCUAAAGCAAAAUUUCCCUGAAACUCAAAGAAAAAAGACAAGAGUAUCCAUAGAAUUAAUUAAGCUAAUAUAUUUAACACAUGAACCAUUUUCUAAGAGAUUGUUUUGCAUACUACUGUAAAUCAGAUAACUAUGAAUUCAUAUGUCUAAAAAAAUAUUAAAUAUCAUUUGCCAAUCUG